CGGAACGUCGACCCAAUAGGGUGGGGGAUACGGCCCGGACGAAAGGCCGGAAUUUAAUACCCGCAUGAGACCUGGAGGGUAGAAAGGCGGGGGACUCGCAAGAGCCUCGCGCUGUUGGAGCGGCCGAUAUCAGAUUAGGUAGUUGGUGGGGUAAAGGCCUACCAAGCCGACGAUCUGUAGCUGGUCUGAGAGGACGACCAGCCACACUGGGACUGAGACACGGCCCAGACUCCUACGGGAGGCAGCAGUGGGGGAAUUUUUGGACAAUGGGCGCAAGCCUGAUCCAGCCAUGCCGCGUGCGGGAAGAAGGCCUUCGGGUUGUAAACCGCUUUUGUCAGGGAAGAAAUCCUUUGAGCUAAUACCUCGGAGGGAUGACGGUACCUGAAGAAUAAGCACCGGCUAACUACGUG
rnacentral:rRNA from 1 species